UGCAAUUGGAAUGAGUACAAUUUAAAUCCCUUAACGAGGAUCAAUUGGAGGGCAAGUCUGGUGCCAGCAGCCGCGGUAAUUCCAGCUCCAAUAGCGUAUAUUAAAGUUGUUGCAGUUAAAACGUCCGUAGUCAAACUUUAGUCUUACCGGUGCGGUGGCCUGGUCUUCAUUGACCAAGCUCACUGUCGCUGGAGACUCCACGUCCACUUUCUUCUAGUCUUCGGGCUAGGAUUUUGUGGACAAUUACCAUGAGCAAAUCAGAGUGUUUAAAGCAGGCUUUUAAGCUUGAAUGUGUUAGCAUGGAAUAAUGAAAUAUGACUUUAGUCCUAUUUUCGUUGGUUUAGGUACUAUAGUAAUGAUUAAUAGAAACGGUUGGGGGCAUUUGUAUUUGGCCGCUAGAGGUGAAAUUCUUGGAUUGGCCGAAGACAAACUACUGCGAAAGCAUUUGACCCAGGACGUUUUCAUUGAUCAAGGUCUAAAGUUAAGGGAUCGAAGACGAUUAGAUACCGUCGUAGUCUUAACCACAAACUAUGCCGACUAGAGAUUGGGCGUGUUUCUUAUGACUCGCUCAGCAUCUUAGCGAAAGU
rnacentral:rRNA from 1 species